CCUGCUCUCAGCAUUGCCUACUGGGAUCAGUAGUGUGGGGCAGUCCUUUCUUCAUGUCCAGAUGAUCACAGGAAGUUCCAAGCCCCUGUUACUGGUGCCGCAAAAAAACAUGUGCAAAAUUCUCUGGACUCUGUUCUCUCCAUGGACUUUGAUCCAAUUUCUGGCCUGGUUCAGCCAUCAGUGUGUAUCUGUAGCAUCUGAGAAGCGCUUCUGUUCAGAGCAAAGUUUGAUCUCCAUUGGCUGGAACAGUCCAAGUUGCAGAUGAAGAAGAAGAGCACCAAGUUCAUGUCCCUUGGAUCCUGGAGGAAUGCUCAGCAGAUGAGCAGUGGAUGGUGUGGAAGCACCAUCUCAGGGCUCCUGGCAAGAAGGUGAGGAAGGAGCGGGCGACUUUUUCCCCAUGUUCCCAGAGAAGUGAAGGGAAGGGCUCACCCUGAGGAUGCUGGCAUAGGCAGUCCCCUCGGCAUGAGCUCUUACCCCACCACAUGGAUUCACUCAACCGAGAGGGAUGAAUUCUUUUUUAGAUGCCAAAAUUUAAAAGAAAGCGUAACUGAAAUGAAUGGACUUUUUUUACACAAGGAACCUUAAGAAUUAAAGAAAAAGAACCUCUUAUUGUUAGAGGGAGGUUUGCAUAUCUUCAAUACAUGAGAAAACUCAUUCCUUGAAGAUGGACCCCAAUGUAAUGCAACCCAAUGUUGGCUUUUGCUAGUGCUGAAAGGUGCAUUAAGGAAGAUGCACAGGCCUGAGAUGAUCUGUCUGAAGCCUGGGACUUAAUUUAAUAAGUUGAAGUUGAGUUAGCACCGUUGAGCCUCUGGGGCCGCAUCUUGCAUCAGAAAGAACACAGCUCGUUAUCAUUCCUGAACUAUGCUCCUCUCAGUCGCUGCGCUGGGUAAUGUGAGGUGACACGUGGAGGAAAACAGGAUCUCUUCCAGCAUAUGUGAAAAGUGCUUCUGAGGCAGCUGAAAAAGCCCUGACAAGCCAAAUGCAGAAGGGGCAGAGGACCAGAAGAUGCCCUGAAGUUUGGGAAUAGUAGAAGUACAAUUGAAAAGGUCAGCAGCUCAGUCCCCUUUAAAUUCCCCUUGGAUAUAUCAAAGUACCAUGCCCUGAUUUAAAAUCUUUUAAGUGCUUGUGCCUAGAGCACAGUUUGUUCA
rnacentral:lncRNA from 1 species